UAUUGCUCAUUUUGAUGCACACCACUCGUGUAUUGCUCCUACCCCACUGUGUAGACGAAACGAAAGUCUUGGGUGAGGUUUAUUUUCUUGUUUAUUCUGCUCUUAAACCUGCAGUGAAGUUAGCGCUUUGGAGAGGCGUCCUCAUACCAGAAUGCCUUGAGCUCGGGCCGCGUCCUGGGCCGUCGCAAUCAUCCGCUGCUGAUCCUCGAGGUCGGAGCCGCCAAGGCUCUCUCCCAAAGCUCGUUGGUGUGACGCUGCUACCAAAAUGCGGAUUCUAUUGUCCAUCGCUGUCGUGAUCCUAUCAAGUAUUCUCCACCAUCUAACAAGUGGGAAUACUCAAGAAUGCAACGUGGACCUUAACAUCGAUGACGUACGAAACAUGAUGAUUCCUUGCAACCAGACCUGCGAAGGGGCAGGAUAUUUGCCAAAUGGAACGGUUUGUUAUAUUAUUUGUCAAAACUGGGGCAGCCAAGCAAGCAAAGUCCCGGCGGCAACAUGCGAACUGUGUGGGACAUGCAGCGGUGGCCAAUGUGUCAAGAAACCGGAGUGCGAAGGCUACGGACGCUGAUGCAGCAUCAUGGUAUUAAUUCCUCAGGAUCGGCGGGUGCCUCUCUCCCUCAGCGCACAUUUGUUGCGGCAAUGUGGUUGUAUGUGUCACCUUUCUAAUAAAUGUGCACAUGUUUA